AACGAACGCUGGCGGCGUGCUUAACACAUGCAAGUCGAACGGCAACGCACUGCGUUUUUGGGGUUAUCGGGUGGCGAACGGGUGAGUAUCACGUGAGUAUCGUGACCUUGACUUUCGGAUGACUUCAGGAAGCUGGGGCUACUCCCAGAUAGGAGCUCCUGUACCAGUGAGGGGGGGGGAACGUCUCAGCGGGUGCGGAUGCACUCGUGUCGGAUGAGCUUGUUGGCGGGGUAAAGGCCCACCAAGGCGAUGAUCGGUAGCUGGCCUGAGAGGAUGAUCGGCCACACUGGAACUGAGACACGGUCCAGACUCCUACGGGAGGCAGCAGUGGGGAAUAUUGGACAAUGGGCGCAAGCCUGAUCCAGCCAUACCGCGUGGGUGAAGAAGGCCUUCGGGUUGUAAAGCCCUUUUGUUGGGAAAGAAAAGCAGCAGGUUAAUACCCCGCUGUUCUGACGGUACCCAAUGAAUAAGCACCGGCUAACUUCGUG
rnacentral:rRNA from 1 species